UACGUAGGGCGCAAGCGUUAUCCGGAAUUAUUGGGCGUAAAGAGCUCGUAGGCGGUUUGUCGCGUCUGCCGUGAAAGCCCAGGGCUUAACCCUGGGUCUGCGGUGGGUACGGGCAGACUAGAGUGUGGUAGGGGAGACUGGAAUUCCUGGUGUAGCGGUGAAAUGCGCAGAUAUCAGGAGGAACACCGAUGGCGAAGGCAGGUCUCUGGGCCACUACUGACGCUGAGGAGCGAAAGCGUGGGGAGCGAACAGG
rnacentral:rRNA from 1 species